CGAUGGCAUAGUUCUUCCGCAUGGUAGAACUAUUAAAGAAUUUCGGUCAUCGAUGGGGAUGCGUUCCAUUAGGUUGUUGGCGGGGUAACGGCCCACCAAGCCUUCGAUGGAUAGGGGUUCUGAGAGGAAGGUCCCCCACAUUGGAACUGAGACACGGUCCAAACUCCUACGGGAGGCAGCAGUGAGGAAUAUUGGUCAAUGGACGAGAGUCUGAACCAGCCAAGUAGCGUGAAGGAUGACUGCCCUAUGGGUUGUAAACUUCUUUUAUACGGGAAUAAAGUGAGGCACGUGUGCCUUUUUGUAUGUACCGUAUGAAUAAGGAUCGGCUAACUCCGUGCCAGCAGCCGCGGUAAUACGGAGGAUCCGAGCGUUAUCCGGAUUUAUUGGGUUUAAAGGGAGCGUAGGCGGACGCUUAAGUCAGUUGUGAAAGUUUGCGGCUCAACCGUAAAAUUGCAGUUGAUACUGGGUGUCUUGAGUACAGUAG
rnacentral:rRNA from 1 species